rnacentral:rRNA from 1 species
ACCGGAGCUUGCUCCACCGGAAAAAGAGGAGUGGCGAACGGGUGAGUAACACGUGGGUAACCUGCCCAUCAGAAGGGGAUAACACUUGGAAACAGGUGCUAAUACCGUAUAACAAUCGAAACCGCAUGGUUUUGAUUUGAAAGGCGCUUUCGGGUGUCGCUGAUGGAUGGACCCGCGGUGCAUUAGCUAGUUGGUGAGGUAACGGCUCACCAAGGCCACGAUGCAUAGCCGACCUGAGAGGGUGAUCGGCCACAUUGGGACUGAGACACGGCCCAAACUCCUACGGGAGGCAGCAGUAGGGAAUCUUCGGCAAUGGACGAAAGUCUGACCGAGCAACGCCGCGUGAGUGAAGAAGGUUUUCGGAUCGUAAAACUCUGUUGUUAGAGAAGAACAAGGAUGAGAGUAACUGUUCAUCCCUUGACGGUAUCUAACCAGAAAGCCACGGCUAACUACGUGCCAGCAGCCGCGGUAAUACGUAGUGGCAAGCGUUGUCCGGAUUUAUUGGGCGUAAAGCGAGCGCAGGCGGUUUUCUUAAGUCUGAUGUGAAAGCCCCCGGCUCAACCGGGGAGGGUCAUUGGAAACUGGGAGACUUGAGUGCAGAAGAGGAGAGUGGAAUUCCAUGUGUAGCGGUGAAAUGCGUAGAUAUAUGGAGGAACACCAGUGGCGAAGGCGGCUCUCUGGUCUGUAACUGACGCUGAGGCUCGAAAGCGUGGGGAGCAAACAGGAUUAGAUACCCUGGUAGUCCACGCCGUAAACGAUGAGUGCUAAGUGUUGGAGGGUUUCCGCCCUUCAGUGCUGCAGCUAACGCAUUAAGCACUCCGCCUGGGGAGUACGACCGCAAGGUUGAAACUCAAAGGAAUUGACGGGGGCCCGCACAAGCGGUGGAGCAUGUGGUUUAAUUCGAAGCAACGCGAAGAACCUUACCAGGUCUUGACAUCCUUUGACCACUCUAGAGAUAGAGCUUCCCCUUCGGGGGCAAAGUGACAGGUGGUGCAUGGUUGUCGUCAGCUCGUGUCGUGAGAUGUUGGGUUAAGUCCCGCAACGAGCGCAACCCUUAUUGUUAGUUGCCAUCAUUCAGUUGGGCACUCUAGCAAGACUGCCGGUGACAAACCGGAGGAAGGUGGGGAUGACGUCAAAUCAUCAUGCCCCUUAUGACCUGGGCUACACACGUGCUACAAUGGGAAGUACAACGAGUUGCGAAGUCGCGAGGCUAAGCUAAUCUCUUAAAGCUUCUCUCAGUUCGGAUUGCAGGCUGCAACUCGCCUGCAUGAAGCC